rnacentral:rRNA from 1 species
GCGUUGUCCGGAUUUAUUGGGCGUAAAGAGCUCGUAGGCGGUUUGAUAAGUCGGGUGUGAAACCUCCAGGCUCAACCUGGAGCCGCCACUCGAUACUGUCAUGACUAGAAUUCGGUAGGGGACCACGGAAUUCCUGGUGUAGCGGUGAAAUGCGCAGAUAUCAGGAGGAACACCAGCAGCGAAGGCGGUGGUCUGGGCCGACAUUGACGCUGAGGAGCGAAAGCGU